GGGGAUUUAGCUCAGUGGUUCUGGCGCCUGCCUUGCAAGCACAAGUACCUGAGUUCAAUCCCCAGUACCCCCC
rfam:Fukomys damarensis contig120610, whole genome shotgun sequence.